rnacentral:rRNA from 1 species
GAUGAACGCUGGCGGCGUGCCUAAUACAUGCAAGUCGAGCGAACAGACGAGGAGCUUGCUCCUCUGACGUUAGCGGCGGACGGGUGAGUAACACGUGGAUAACCUACCUAUAAGACUGGGAUAACUUCGGGAAACCGGAGCUAAUACCGGAUAAUAUAUUGAACCGCAUGGUUCAAUAGUGAAAGACGGUUUUGCUGUCACUUAUAGAUGGAUCCGCGCCGCAUUAGCUAGUUGGUAAGGUAACGGCUUACCAAGGCAACGAUGCGUAGCCGACCUGUGGGGGGGAUCGGGGAAUGAGGGAGUGAGACGCGAUACGGGGACCGAGGGGAGGCAGAGGCUGCUAAUGUAGCGAGAUGUGCGGAAGCCUGACGGAUGGGCGCAAGGCGAGUGAAGAAGGGCAUCGGAUCGUAAGACUCUGUUAUUAGGGUAAAACAAAUGUGUCAGUGACGAAGCGCGACUGAACGGUAUCUGUAAAGAAGGCCCCGGCUACCUACUG